GUGCUCACUUUGGCAGCACAUAUACUAAAAUUGGAAUGAUACAGGGAAGAUUAGCAUGGCCCCUGCUCAAGGAUGACAUGCAAAUUCAUGAAGUAUUCCAUAUUUAA
ensembl:snRNA U6 U6 spliceosomal RNA